CCUACGGGUGGCAGCAGUAGGGAAUCUUGCGCAAUGGGCGAAAGCCUGACGCAGCAACGCCGCGUGAUUGAUUAAGCCCUUCGGGGUGUUAAGAUCUGUCAGUGGGGACGAAACUUCACGGUACCCUCAGAGGAAGCACCGGCGAACUCCGAGCCAGCAGCCGCGGUAAUACGGAGGGUGCACGCGUUGUCCGGAAUCAUUGGGGGUAACGAGUUCGUAGGUGGUAUAUUAAGUCUGGUGUUAAAUGCAGAAGCUCAACCUCUGUUCGGCACUGGAUACUGGUAAGCUUGAGUGCGAUAGAAGUAAAGGGAAUUCCUGGUGUAGCGGUGAAAUGCGUAGAUAUCGGGCAGAACUUCGAUGGCGAAGGCGCUUUACUGGGCCGUAAUUGACGCUGAGGAACGAAAGCCGGGGUAGCGAAUGGGAUUAGAUACCCCUGUAGUC
rnacentral:rRNA from 1 species